rnacentral:rRNA from 1 species
GAAAUGCGAUACGUAGUGUGAAUUGCAGAAUUCCGUGAGUCAUCGAAUCUUUGAACGCACAUUGCCGGUCGAGUCUUCGGACGAGACCACAUCUGCCUCAGCGUCGGGAUA